rnacentral:rRNA from 1 species
GACGCUCUCCCCAAGGACGAAGCCAUGCAUGCCCGCUCACCCGGGACGCGGCGGACGGCUCAGGACGACGGUUGCACCCCCCGCGGCGGUCCCUGCUAGCCGGACACCGCUGGCAACCCGGCGCCAAGACGUGCGCGCAAGGGCGGGCGCCCGCGGGCGAGCAGCGUGACGCAGCGACGGCCCG